rnacentral:rRNA from 1 species
CGCCUUACUCCGGGAAUAGCCUUUCGAAAGAAAGAUUAAUACCGGAUAGUAUACGAAUAUCGCAUGAUAUUUUUAUUAAAGAAUUUCGGUUAUCGAUGGGGAUGCGUUCCAUUAGUUUGUUGGCGGGGUAACGGCCCACCAAGACUACGAUGGAUAGGGGUUCUGAGAGGAAGGUCCCCCACAUUGGAACUGAGACACGGUCCAA